UUGGAAUAAUAUCGGAUACGCGAGUAUCUCACACACAAUGUGCCAACACGUGGUCGAAACCACUACGAUCUCAUAUCAAUGCUCUCUCUCGAGCCAUAACUGAGUCUGCUCACACAAGCUGUCAAUCAAGACGUAGCUGUACAAGCCCAAUAAUGGCCGGGCCCAAGCAAACAAAUAUGCCCGGGUCCAAACCAAUAAACAGGCCCAAAACCCAAAUUAACCUAGCCCAAACAUUAACCCAAAACCUAGCCCACACAAAAACAAAAUAACAGAAACCCUAGGAGCCUAUUUGCUUCAGCACCGCCGCCGCUUACCCUCACACGCCGCCACGAAUCUUGCACCACGACCCUCCC
rnacentral:lncRNA from 1 species